rnacentral:rRNA from 1 species
AACGUAGGUUCCGAGCGUUAUCCGGAAUUACUGGGCGUAAAGGGCUCGUAGGCGGCCAACUAAGUCGGACGUGAAAUCCCUCGGCUUAACCGGGGAACUGCUUCCGAUACUGGAUGGCUUGAGUGUGGGAGAGGGAUGCGGAAUUCCAGGUGUAGCGGUGAAAUGCGUAGAUAUCUGGAGGAACACCGGUGACGAAGGCGGCAUCCUGGACCAUUACUGACGCUGAGUGAGCGAAAGCCAGGGGAGCAAACGGG